GACGAACGCUGGCGGCGUGCUUAACACAUGCAAGUCGAACGGAAAGGCCCUGCUUUUGUGGGGUGCUCGAGUGGCGAACGGGUGAGUAACACGUGAGUAACCUGCCCUUGACUUUGGGAUAACUUCAGGAAACUGGGGCUACUACCGGAUAGGAGCUCCUGCUGCAUGGUGGGGGUUGGAAAGUUUCGGCGGUUGGGGAUGGACGCGCGGCUUAUCAGCUUGUUGGUGGGGUAGUGGCUUACCAAGGCUUUGACGGGUAGCCGGCCUGAGAGGGUGACCGGCCACAUUGGGACUGAGAGACGGCCCAGACUCCUACGGGAGGCAGCAGUGGGGAAUAUUGCACAAUGGGCGGAAGCCUGAUGCAGCAACGCCGCGUGCGGGAUGACGGCCUUCGGGUUGUAAACCGCUUUCGCCUGUGACGAAGCGUGAGUGACGGUAAUGGGUAAAGAAGCACCGGCUAACUACGUG
rnacentral:rRNA from 1 species